rnacentral:rRNA from 1 species
UCUGCCUUAUACUAAGGAAUAACACAAAGAAAUUUGUGCUAAAGCCUUAUAAGCUUACACUAUCUUAUGAUAGAGUAAGAAAAACUUUAGUGGUAUAAGAUGAGCCCGCGUCCGAUUAACUAGUUGGUGGGAUAACAGCCUACCAAGGCUACGAUCGGUAACCGGCCUGAGAGGGUGACCGGUCACACUGGGACUGAGACACGGCCCAGACUCCUACGGGAGGCAGCAGUGGGGAAUAUUGCACAAUGGGGGAAACCCUGAUGCAGCAACGCCGCGUGAAGGAUGAAGGUUUUCGGAUCGUAAACUUCUAUCAGUAGGGAUGAAAAAAAUGACAGUACCUAACUAAGAAGCCCCGGCUAACUACGUGCCAGCAGCCGCGGUAAUACGUAGGGGGCAAGCGUUAUCCGGAUUUACUGGGUGUAAAGGGUGCGUAGGUGGUAUGGUAAGUUGGAUGUGAAAGCCCAAGGCUUAACUUUGGGAUUGCAUCUAAAACUGCCAAACUAGAGUGCAGGAGAGGAAAGUAGAAUUCCUAGUGUAGCGGUGAAAUGCGUAGAUAUUAGGAGGAACACCAGUAGCGAAGGCGGCUUUCUG